AUUCACAGCAGAAGCUCUGCCACCGAAAAUUUAUUUAUAUUCUAUCAGUGUUAAGGUAUACUAUGUGAAAAUCUGUGAUUGUCCAUGGAUCCAAAGACCUCUCAUUCUUGCAAGACAAUGAAUAACACUUUGGUUGAUACACUGAUUUCUUUGCAAUAGAUUUAACAGAAACAGACUGCAAGCAUAAAUUCACUUUAUAAUCAAUCCAAGACUAGCAUCAACAUCUUGACACUAGCUUCUGAGGGGCAGCUGAACAAAACUGCCAAGGGGCGCACGCGGCUGAGAGGAAACUGCUUGUUAGAUCUUCACAAGAUUUCUUUUGCUCUCAUCAAUUGCAAAGUAUCUUUAGACACUGCAUACUGAAGUUUUUCCAUUCGCUCCACUGCUGCUGCCCAAGCUGCCUUACCAAACUUUUUCUGGUCUGCUCGCAUACGAUCAUAUACAGCUGUAAAUAAAAUUUAAUAGCAGGUUUAUCAAACUUGGAAAUAGUUUCAGUAUAAGUCCUAUUUAAGUAAAUCAGCUUCCUCUUUAUGCAAAUAAAAUGUUACAAUCUUCAAAGCAGUAGUUAUUUUAAUAAAAAAAUUGGGAUCUUUUUGAAA